UGAGCAAUCUGCCCUUCACAUCGGAAUAACCAUUGGAAACGAUGGCUAAUACCGAAUAUGACUUCGGAUCGCAUGAUCUGAAGUGGAAAGCUCCGGCGGUGAAGGAUGAGCUCGCGGCCUAUCAGCUUGUUGGUGAGGUAAUAGCUCACCAAGGCGAUGACGGGUAGCCGGUCUGAGGAGGGUGACCGGCCACACGUGGGACUGAGACACCGGCACGUA
rnacentral:rRNA from 1 species